UUCUCUGAUGUUAGCGGCGGACGGGUGAGUAACACGUGGAUAACCUACCUAUAAGACUGGGAUAACUUCGGGAAACCGGAGCUAAUACCGGAUAAUAUUUUGAACCGCAUGGUUCAAAAGUGAAAGACGGUCUUGCUGUCACUUAUAGAUGGAUCCGCGCUGCAUUAGCUAGUUGGUAAGGUAACGGCUUACCAAGGCAACGAUGCAUAGCCGACCUGAGAGGGUGAUCGGCCACACUGGAACUGAGACACGGUCCAGACUCCUACGGGAGGCAGCAGUAGGGAAUCUUCCGCAAUGGGCGAAAGCCUGACGGAGCAACGCCGCGUGAGUGAUGAAGGUCUUCGGAUCGUAAAACUCUGUUAUUAGGGAAGAACAUAUGUGUAAGUAACUGUGCACAUCUUGACGGUACCUAAUCAGAAAGCCACGGCUAACUACGUGCCAGCAGCCGCGGUAAUACGUAGGUGGCAAGCGUUAUCCGGAAUUAUUGGGCGUAAAGCGCGCGUAGGCGGUUUUUUAAGUCUGAUGUGAAAGCCCACGGCUCAACCGUGGAGGGUCAUUGGAAACUGGAAAACUUGAGUGCAGAAGAGGAAAGUGGAAUUCCAUGUGUAGCGGUGAAAUGCGCAGAGAUAUGGAGGAACACCAGUGGCGAAGGCGACUUUCUGGUCUGUAACUGACGCUGAUGUGCGAAAGCGUGGGGAUCAAACAGGAUUAGAUACCCUGGUAGUCCACGCCGUAAACGAUGAGUGCUAAGUGUUAGGGGGUUUCCGCCCCUUAGUGCUGCAGCUAACGCAUUAAGCACUCCGCCUGGGGAGUACGACCGCAAGGUUGAAACUCAAAGGAAUUGACGGGGACCCGCACAAGCGGUGGAGCAUGUGGUUUAAUUCGAAGCAACGCGAAGAACCUUACCAAAUCUUGACAUCCUUUGACAACUCUAGAGAUAGAGCCUUCCCCUUCGGGGGACAAAGUGACAGGUGGUGCAUGGUUGUCGUCAGCUCGUGUCGUGAGAUGUUGGGUUAAGUCCCGCAACGAGCGCAACCCUUAAGCUUAGUUGCCAUCAUUAAGUUGGGCACUCUAAGUUGACUGCCGGUGACAAACCGGAGGAAGGUGGGGAUGACGUCAAAUCAUCAUGCCCCUUAUGAUUUGGGCUACACACGUGCUACAAUGGACAAUACAAAGGGCAGCGAAACCGCGAGGUCAAGCAAAUCCCAUAAAGUUGUUCUCAGUUCGGAUUGUAGUCUGCAACUCGACUACAUGAAGCUGGAAUCGCUAGUAAUCGUAGAUCAGCAUGCUACGGUGAAUACGUUCCCGGGUCUUGUACACACCGCCCGUCACACCACGAGAGUUUGUAACACCCGAAGCCGGUGGAGUAACCUUUUAGGAGCUAGCCGUCGAAGGUGGGACAAAUGAUUGGGGUGAAGGAGUAACAAGGUAGCCGUAUCGGAAGGUGCGGCUGGA
rnacentral:rRNA from 1 species